rnacentral:lncRNA from 1 species
UCUGUCACUAUGUUUGUGUACUGUAUACACUUCUCGAGUCAUGGUGUUUUGUCCAGUCGUAGGUGAAUAGUAGAUGUUGUUACAUAAUUAUUAUUAGCAAAUAUAUCUUAGCCAUUAUAUUUACUAGUAGCUAAGCCUAUUCUUUCAUCCGUCAUCAUAUUCAUCAUUAACAUUUGGUAGGAGAUGUAUGUAGUUCCAAGAUCAAGAAUCACGACGCUUUAUCCGAUAUGGAAGAAGGACAUAAGAUUAUGGCAAAAAUUCACCGACAUAGAUAAGAAGAAACAGGCAAUUGGAAUUUAUUUAUUUCUAAAUGGGAAAGCAAGAGAGGCUACUACGGAAUUAAAAGACGAAGAAAUAGAUUUACACUGGUGUUGAAAAUAUAUUCGCCAAACUAUUUUUACUUGAAGAAGGCAUAUGUCAAACUUCUUGGCAUUCCAAGAACUAUAUGACCUAAGAAGAAGCCAGGGUAAUAACAUCAAUCAUUUUAUCAGUCAAUUAUAAAUUAAUUGAAGAGAAUAUCUAGCUUCCAGAUGCUGUACUUGCGUUUAUGCUUCUUAUAACAUGUGAUUUAAAUCGCAAUCAAAAGUAUCUAGUACUUUCUGGAGUGAAGUUAGAGGGAAAUAUGUCGACGCUAAGAAGAAUAUUCAAUGAACAUCUUGCAAAGAAGAAUGAGGUUAUAGAUUUUAGUAACCCUGAUUAAAAUGACAAACCGAUAAUGUUUACGAGGAUGAAGAAGAAUCCAGUCAAUGACAUGGCUAAGUCACAAAAUGCAACAUUUGCACUAGCGAGUUUCACUGGGCAAGAAAUUGCAAGAAAAGAAGGCUGUGGAAAUGUGGUGGUAAUAGAGGAAGACGGAAAUAUGAUCUUACUUCAUUUUUAACAGUAUACGCUGAAGAAGAUACUGAUAAUAAGUUAGAAGAAUUGGUACAAAAUUCGAAGGGCAAAGCUUUAUCAGAUUCUGGUUGUCCAUCUACUAUUUUUGGGCAAGGUUGGUUAGACGACUACAUUAAAAAUAUGAGCAAAUCUGAUCGUAUGAAGAUAUAAGAGUUCUCGGCAAAAUCAAUUUAUACUUUUGAUAAUCAUCAGAAGACAAAGUCAAAAAUGAAGAUCAAGCUACCAUGUCUAAUUGGGGUAACGCAUACUUAUAUAACCACUGAUGUUAUAGAUAAGGACAUACCGUUAUUGUGGAGCAAAGAAUCAAUGCGGAAGGCGGAAAUGGUACUCAAUUUCUCAAAUGAUAUUUUAUUUUUUCGUGGCAAGAAGAUCAAGCUUGGAAAUUCAUCAUCGAGGCACUAUACGAUCAACUAAGCAACAACAGCAGAUGACUAGAUCACAAUAGAUGGGCGUAUAAGGAUUGAAAAUUUGCAAUGUUUACGGAAUUGAAAAACCGAAUAAUGGACAAGGAGUUUAGAAUAAUGGAUAUAAAGCUACACAGACAAUUUGGUCACCCACCGUCUACAAGAUAAGUCGAAUUUAUCAAGGAGUCAAAAUUCUAUAGUAAAAAGUUGGAAGAAGAAAUAAUUCACAUAACCAAUAAAUGUGAGAUAUGCAUGAAAACGAAGAAACAAGAACCAAGACUAGUUGUUGCUUUACCGAUGGGCAAAAGCUUGAAUGGUGUUGUAUCUAUGGAUCUCAAGUACUGGAAGAAAAACUGUUAUUUUAUUAUAAUGGUCGAUGCAGCUACAAGAUUUUGUGCUGCGUGUACUAUCAGUAACAAGGUACCAUCCACCAUCAUUCAAGGCAUUUUCAGAACAUGGAUAUCAAAAUUUGAGGCACCUAAUAAGUUCCUUAUGGGCAAUAGCCGGGAAUUUAGCAAUAAGGAGAUGAUUGAACAGGGAGAAAAAUUUACCAUUAGAAUAAUGAACACAGCUUCAUAUUCUCCAUUUUCGAAUGGUCUAUGUGAGAGGACAAAAUGCCAUUUUGGGUAUUAUAGUUUCAAGGUUGGUUGAAGAUGACAUCACAAACGUGGAUGUGCCACUUGAUUGUGCUGUUGCAGCAAGGAAUUAUAUGCAGAAUUUUUGAGAAUUUCCUCCUAACCAGUUAGUUUUUGGGUUUGACACGAAUUAUCCAUCAUUUGACGUUAAUAUGCUGCCUGCAAUGGAAUCAACAACCCAAUCAGAAGCAGUUAGAAGAUAUUUGAAUGUAUUACAUCAUCUAGAUGCGAAUACAUAAAAAAUGAAUCAAAUGUCAAAAAUCAAAGGGCUCUUUCGCAUAAUAUCAGAGAUGGAGCAACAAAAGACCUCGAUAUUGGUGAUAUGGUAUUUUACGAACGAAAUGAUGACUCGAAAUAGAAAGAUCCUGGCAAAAUUAUUGGAAAAGAUGGUAAAGUGUAUUUAUUACGUCAUGGUGCUUACUGUAUAAGAUGUCAUGUUUGUAUGGUGCAAAAAAAGUGUUGUAAAAGAAGAUGUUCUAAUGGUUAAAACAAAUGUUGAAGCCCAUCUUAAUGGUAUGGAUCAUGGUUAUGGUCAAAUACAAGCAGACGUUGAAGAAGCUCGUGAUGAUGAUGAAGAUCAUCAUUAUGGUCGAAGAUAAAGAAGUGUUGUGGAAGCACGUAUUGAAGAUGAAAAUGUCAUAGCUAGUCAUACUGAAGAUGAAGAUAUUUCAAAUAGCAAUGAAGAAGAUGAUUCCAGUAAAAGUGGUAAAAAUCCUAGUGAACAGUUAAAAAGAAGAAGAGGUCGUCCACGUAAUGAAGAAAAAGUUGCUUUGAAAAGGAUCUAUGUUGUCCAAAGGUUGGAGGAAAUUUUGAAGCCAUUGAUCAUAAUUCUGGCAAGUAGUUCAAAGGAAAAUUUAUUGGCAAAGCUGGAAAAGCCAAUGGAAGAUAUAGGAGGUUGUAUAAUAUCAGAAACAAUGGUAUUGGUGAAGAAUAUUUUUUUAUAUAGAUACCUGGAAGGAGUGGAAGGUGGUAGAAGAUGAUCAUGAAGUAUUAUUUAAUAUUAACUCUGGAGAAGUGAAGCAUCCAAAAAGAAAUGAAAUUAACAAUUGGAAAGAAAAAAAAGUUUUUGAAGAAGUGGAAGGUCAUGGUCAAAGAACUAUUUCUACGAGAUGGAUGGUGACAGAAAAGAUGGCAAAAGACAAAUCAAUCAUAAAAUAAAGACUGGUAGCAAGAGGAUUUGAAAAACAUGACAAUGAUAUCCGAACAGAUUCACCUACCUGUAUCAAUUAAGGACUAAGAAUGACAAUGAUGGUAAUGAGCUCAAAAGGUUGGAUUUGGAACUCCAUGGAUAUAAAAACUGGUUUUUUUUUUCAAGGAGGUCCAAUAUCAAGAUAUGUCUUUUUGAAACCACCGAAGGAUUAUUAUAUUGGAAAAUUAUAGAAACUCAACAAAGUAGUAUAUGGUCUAGUUGACGCAGCAAGAUAAUAUAAGCGUUUUAAAAGUUUCUUGUUAGAAAUUGGAAUGACUGUGUCAAAACUAGACAAUUGUAUUUUUUAUUGGAAAACUCAAUGGUAUUAUCUGUAUUCAUAUUGAUGAUCUGUUGUGGGCUAGAUCUAGUGUAUUUAAAGAAAAAAAUUGGGAA